rnacentral:rRNA from 1 species
CCUACGGGUGGCAGCAGGGGGGAAUAUUGCACAAUGGGCGAAAGCCUGAUGCAGCAACGCCGCGUGAAGGAAGAAGGGUUUCGGCUCGUAAACUUCUAUCAACAGGGACGAAAGAAAUGACGGUACCUGAAUAAGAAGCCCCGGCUAACUACGUGCCAGCAGCCGCGGUAAUACGGAGGGGGCAAGCGUUAUCCUGAAUUACUGGGUGUAAAGGGGGAGUAGGCGGCAUGAUAAGCCAGAUGGGAAAGCCUGGGGCUUAACCCGAGGAGUGCAUUUGGAACGAUCAAGCUAGAGUACAGGGGCGGCAAGCGGACUUCCUCUUGUCGCGGUGACAUGCGUCGUUCUUCGG